AUAAGCAAUUAUACAGCGAAACUGCGAAUGGCUCAUUAUAUAAGUUAUCGUUUAUUUGAUAGUGCCUUACUACUUGGAUAACCGUGGUAAUUCUAGAGCUAAUACAUGCUAAAAAUCCCGACUUCGGAAGGGAUGUAUUUAUUAGAUUAAAAACCAAUGCCCUUCGGGGCUUCUUGGUGAUUCAUGAUAACUCCUCGAAUCGCAUGGCCUUGUGCCGGCGAUGGUUCAUUCAAAUUUCUUCCCUAUCAACUUUCGAUGUUUGGGUAUUGGCCAAACAUGGUUGCAACGGGUAACGGAGGGUUAGGGCUCGACCCCGGAGAAGGAGCCUGAGAAACGGCUACUACAUCCAAGGAAGGCAGCAGGCGCGCAAAUUACCCAAUCCCGACACGGGGAGGUAGUGACAAUAAAUACUGAUACAGGGCUCUUUUGGGUCUUGUAAUUGGAAUGAGUACAAUUUAAAUCCCUUAACGAGGAACAAUUGGAGGGCAAGUCUGGUGCCAGCAGCCGCGGUAAUUCCAGCU
rnacentral:rRNA from 1 species